UAGAGCACUGAAUGUCCUAGGGGGUAUUGCACCUACCGAAGACUAUCAAACUCCGAAUGCCGUCAUCUUAUACUUGGGAGUCAGACUGUGGGUGAUAAGAUUCAUAGUCGAAAGGGCAACAGCCCAGAUCGUCAGCUAAGGUCCCUAAAUGUAAGUUAAGUGGUAAAGGAUGUGGGAUUGCACAGACAACCAGGAUGUUGGCUUAGAAGCAGCCACUCAUUCAAAGAGUGCGUAAUAGCUCACUGGUCGAGUGAUCCUGCGCCGAAGAUUUCCGGGGCUAAAACUUACUACCGAAGCUACGGCAUCAGUAAUGAUGGGUAGGGGAGCUUCCCAUACGGGUUGAAGCAUGACCGUAAGGACAUGUGGACAGUAUGGGAGUGAGAAUGUUGGCAUGAGUAGCGAGAUGUGGGUGAGAAUCCCACAGGCCGUAAACCCAAGGUUUCCAGGGGAAGGUUCGUCCGCCCUGGGUUAGUCGGGACCUAAGCUGAGGCCGAAAGGCGUAGGUGAUGGACAACAGGUUGAUAUUCCUGUACUACCGAUAACCGUUUGAGAGAAGGGAUGACACAGUAGGAUAAGCUAAGCACACUGUUGGUUAUGUGUGCCCAAGCAUUGAGGCAGUCAAAGUAGGCAAAUCCGCUUUGAUAAUGCUGGGAUGUGAUGGGGAGCGAAAUUUAGUAGCGAAGUAGCUGAUUUCACACUGUCAAGAAAAGUCUCUAUCGAGGUUAAAGGUACCCGUACCGCAAACCGACACAGGUGGGUGAGGAGAGUAUCCUAAGGCCAGCGAGAGAACUGUUGUUAAGGAACUCGGCAAAAUGACCCCGUAACUUAGGGAUAAGGGGUGCCACCAUCAGGUGGCCGCAGAGAAUAGGCCCAAGCGACUGUUUACCAAAAACAUAGGUUUCUGCUAAGUCGCAAGACGAUGUAUAGGAGCUGACGCCUGCCCGGUGCUGGAAGGUUAAGGGGAUCUGUUAGAGCAAUCGAAGCAGUGAACUUAAGCCCCAGUAAACGGCGGCCGUAACUAUAACGGUCCUAAGGUAGCGAAAUUCCUUGUCGGGUAAGUUCCGACCCGCACGAAAGGCGUAACGAUUUGGGCACUGUCUCAACAACAGACUCGGUGAAAUUGUAAUUCCGGUGAAGAUGCCGGAUACCUGCGACAGGACGGAAAGACCCCAUGGAGCUUUACUGUAGCUUGACAUUGGGUCUUGGUACUACAUGUACAGGAUAGGUGGGAGGCUUUGAAACCAGGACGCCAGUUUUGGCGGAGCCAUCCUUGGGAUACCACCCUUGUAGUACUGGGACUCUAACCAUAG
rnacentral:rRNA from 1 species